UUAAAUUGAAGAGUUUGAUCAUGGCUCAGAUUGAACGCUGGCGGCAGGCCUAACACAUGCAAGUCGAACGGUAACAGGAAGCAGUUUGCUGCUUCGCUGACGAGUG
rnacentral:rRNA from 1 species